rnacentral:rRNA from 1 species
AUGCAAGUCGAACGGCAGCGCGGGGCAACCUGGCGGCGAGUGGCGAACGGGUGAGUAAUAUAUCGGAACGUACCCUGGAGUGGGGGAUAACGUAGCGAAAGUUACGCUAAUACCGCAUACGAUCUAAGGAUGAAAGUGGGGGAUUCGCAAGAACCUCAUGCUCCUGGAGCGGCCGAUAUCUGAUUAGCUAGUUGGUAGGGUAAAAGCCUACCAAGGCAUCGAUCAGUAGCUGGUCUGAGAGGACGACCAGCCACACUGGAACUGAGACACGGUCCAGACUCCUACGGGAGGCAGCAGUGGGGAAUUUUGGACAAUGGGCGCAAGCCUGAUCCAGCAAUGCCGCGUGAGUGAAGAAGGCCUUCGGGUUGUAAAGCUCUUUUGUCAGGGAAGAAACGGUGGGGGCUAAUAUCCCCUGCUAAUGACGGUACCUGAAGAAUAAGCACCGGCUAACUACGUGCCAGCAGCCGCGGUAAUACGUAGGGUGCAAGCGUUAAUCGGAAUUACUGGGCGUAAAGCGUGCGCAGGCGGUUUUGUAAGUUUGUCGUGAAAUCCCCGGGCUCAACCUGGGAAUGGCGAUGAAGACUGCAAGGCUAGAAUCUGGCAGAGGGGGGUAGAAUUCCACGUGUAGCAGUGAAAUGCGUAGAGAUGUGGAGGA